rnacentral:rRNA from 1 species
GAGUUUGAUCAUGGCUCAGGAUGAACGCUAGCUACAGGCUUAACACAUGCAAGUCGAGGGGAAACGGCAUUGAGUGCUUGCACUCUUUGGACGUCGACCGGCGCACGGGUGAGUAACGCGUAUCCAACCUUCCCAUUACUGUGGGAUAACCUGCCGAAAGGCAGACUAAUACCGCAUAGUCUUCGAUGACGGCAUCAGAUUUGAAGUAAAGAUUUAUCGGUAAUGGAUGGGGAUGCGUCUGAUUAGCUUGUUGGCGGGGUAACGGCCCACCAAGGCAACGAUCAGUAGGGGUUCUGAGAGGAAGGUCCCCCACAUUGGAACUGAGACACGGCCCAGACUCCUACGGGAGGCAGCAGUGGGGAAUCUUCCGCAAUGGACGAAAGUCUGACGGAGCAACGCCGCGUGAGUGAUGACGGCCUUCGGGUUGUAAAGCUCUGUUAAUCGGGACGAAAGGCCUUCUUGCGAAUAGUUAGAAGGAUUGACGGUACCGGAAUAGAAAGCCACGGCUAACUACGUGCCAGCAGCCGCGGUAAUACGUAGGUGGCAAGCGUUGUCCGGAAUUAUUGGGCGUAAAGCGCGCGCAGGCGGAUAGGUCAGUCUGUCUUAAAAGUUCGGGGCUUAACCCCGUGAUGGGAUGGAAACUGCCAAUCUAGAGUAUCGGAGAGGAAAGUGGAAUUCCUAGUGUAGCGGUGAAAUGCGUAGAUAUUAGGAAGAACACCAGUGGCGAAGGCGACUUUCUGGACGAAAACUGACGCUGAGGCGCGAAAGCCAGGGGAGCGAACGGGAUUAGAUACCCCGGUAGUCCUGGCCGUAAACGAUGGGUACUAGGUGUAGGAGGUAUCGACCCCUUCUGUGCCGGAGUUAACGCAAUAAGUACCCCGCCUGGGGAGUACGACCGCAAGGUUGAAACUCAAAGGAAUUGACGGGGGCCCGCACAAGCGGUGGAGUAUGUGGUUUAAUUCGACGCAACGCGAAGAACCUUACCAGGUCUUGACAUUGAUGGACAGGACUAGAGAUAGUUCCUCUUCUUCGGAAGCCAGAAAACAGGUGGUGCACGGUUGUCGUCAGCUCGUGUCGUGAGAUGUUGGGUUAAGUCCCGCAACGAGCGCAACCCCUAUCUUAUGUUGCCAGCACUUUGGGUGGGAACUCAUGAGAGACUGCCGCAGACAAUGCGGAGGAAGGCGGGGAUGACGUCAAAUCGUCAUGCCCCUUAUGACCUGGGCUACACACGUACUACGAUGGGAGUUAAUAGACGAAAGCGAGAAUCGCGAGAUGGAGCAACCCGAGAAAACGCUCUCUCGGUUCGGAAUCGGAGAGCUGCGAACUCGCCUACGUAAAGUCGGAAAUCGCUAGGAAUCGCGGGCGGGCGGACUGCGGUAAAGACGUUUCCCGAGCCUGUAGACACCGCCCG